rnacentral:sRNA from 1 species
GAGGGAGAAAACGAAGGGGAGCUCGUCCAUCCAUUGAAGCACAGUUCACUAUGAUCUUACUCACAUUCAGCACUGGAAGACGGUUGGAUUUCGUGCAUCAUUCGGGGGUGUUUUUCUUGCAAACCUUGCUUUGGAUUUUAUGUGCUACAGUCUGCGGAACGGAGCAGUAUUUCAAUGUGGAGGUUUGGUUACAAAAGUACGGCUACCUUCCACCGACUGACCCCAGAAUGUCAGUGCUGCGCUCUGCAGAGACCAUGCAGUCUGCCCUAGCUGCCAUGCAGCAGUUCUAUGGCAUUAACAUGACAGGAAAAGUGGACAGAAACACAAUUGACUGGAUGAAGAAGCCCCGAUGCGGUGUACCUGACCAGACAAGAGGUAGCUCCAAAUUUCAUAUUCGUCGAAAGCGAUAUGCAUUGACAGGACAGAAAUGGCAGCACAAGCACAUCACUUACAGGUAUAAGAACUCAUGAUUAAUCUCCCCUUUUCCCCAUAUUUCAUUACUAUUUGUUUUGACACAUAGUUUAGUAUCUUCUGCACGUUGACUACAUGUUAAUAUAUAGGGAUAUAAUGUUAACAUAAGAGACUUAAAAUUGCUAUUGAGAGGA